rnacentral:lncRNA from 1 species
ACUCCCCUCACACCGCUCCCUACAGCUUGUACUCUGCCUCUGACUCUCUUCCAAGAACAAUUUGGCAAGUUCUAAUCUACAUCUUGCAAAAAAAAAACAAAAAACAAAAAACAGAGAGGUAGGAGGGCCACAGCACCUGGGGUCCCAGAAGGCAGACUGACCUAUUCCUACAGCAGGGGUAAGUAACGCAGAAAACCUCCAGGCAAAGAGACAUGGAGAUCUUCGAAAUGGAAUGGGGGGUGGAGGGAGUCACUGGGAGGCAAAAGGUGUGGGACACCUGAGGUUACUGAGACAGGGAACUUGGGAUUCCCUUCUGGGAAAUGACACAGCAUGGCAGCUGUCCUUCUUAUUCAGUCAAGCUACAUUGCCUCAUUAAACCAAAUCACAGCUACAAACCAGUGCCACAUGCCUGGAGGCUGAGUGGACACUCCUGGUCCUCCUCAUGGAGAUAUAUAGCACUCUGAGUUCUGAUCCAGCUCAUCUGUGUGAAGUCCUCAAACAAGCACAUAGUAAGUGCUCCAUAAACUUCAGCUGCUCAUUUUUUUUAAUUAUUACCAUUUUGACCAUCAUUUCUUCGAUUGUUCUUCAUGUGUCUUGUUUCCAGACCAUUAGACUCCCACAGGAGGCUCCUUGGAGCAUGGUCCAGCUAGUUUAUGUCUUGAAGGGGCAGCCAUGCUCCAGGUGCAGUCUUGGGAGCCAUCUGAUCACUGUCCCUUCUUCUGAGCAUCUGCCUGCUGAAGGAGGCUAGGCCAUGUGCUGACAAGCACUAUGGACAGACAGCCCGGGGUCAAGUCCUAGCUCCUCCAUCCCCCAGCUGUGUAACCUGGACCAGGACGAUUGUAUCUCUGACCAAUCUCAGAAUAUAGCUGGAUUACUAGGAGGAAAACUAAGUGAGUGCUUAGAGGCGGGCAAAGUAAGGAUAACCAUUUGUAGAUGAUGUGCUAGAGAUGCUGACCAUCAUUCCUUACUCUUAACAUAAUUAUUAUGAGAAAAAUUAGAACCUCCUCAUUGGACUUCCUUAUUCCUAUGUCGAAGUAUAAUGUUCUGUUUUUACUAACGUAUGGGGGGCGGCACACACAAAGCUUUGCAUGUCUAGGGCCUCUAGGGAUCUCAGCCUGGCCUCGCUAUGAAAUUUCUGCAAGGCCUGUCAAUUCCCUGAUGUAUCACGAGUGUUCCCGAACAAUAAGCUCAUUUACCAGGUCUUGCUGUGACCAGAUAGUUUUUAAUCGCCAUGAUCACUGGGUUGACAGGUUGAGCUUGAGCUCUACCAUAAGCCUGUGUCUUUCCAAAGGCCUGGGGGACCGAAGGCAGAAGCAAGAGCACACGUAGAGAAGGCACCGAGCAAGCGGAUCUGUGCGGUUCUUCGGUUCUAAACAACUUGCGGAAUCCAGGCGGACUCAGGGCCUGUGUGGCCACUGGGCAGGGAAGGUGGUGGUUCCCAGGCCCAUCGAAACCACAAGGAGCACUGACUUCUGUCUCCUGCUAUAGCUUCAGGUGCCAGGUUCACUGGGGUCUUAGAAGUUGGGGCUGGAAGGAGGUGGGCCCAGAGGGUCCCGCUCCUUAAGUGCUGGCUUCAAGAUGGAAGAUAUUAAGACGUUCCAGGGGUCGAUUCUUUUUUCAAGACCCUAAGAUGUUCCAGGCUUCUGUAGAGCAGGCACAGUCCUUGCCCUCCAGGAAUUGUAUCAAUAAAGACACAAAACACUAGAGGCAGAAGCUGCACACAGGCAACCUCCACGCAGAAUCUGCCCACAUCUGUGUUGGUUUGGCCAACAGUGGUUUUUAGAAAGUUGAGUCAGAGUGUCUUUGGGAGGACACCGUAGGUGACUGCAGGUGCCAUGCCCCAUCGUCACUCCAGCAGAUUCACAUAUUGGCAUUACCUGCCUGGUCUCUACAGUCUGGAUGCCAAGUAUGAAGUGUGAAUAUAAAGGCAGCAAACAAGUGUGAUUGGGGCACAAGAAAGGGAUUCGGCUGGGCGCUGUGGCUCACGCCUCUAAUCCCAACAAUUUGGGAGGCUGAGGCAGGCAGAUCACUUGAGGCCAAAAGUUCGAGACCAGCUUGGACAACAUGAAGAAAUCCCGUCUCUACUAAAAAUAUAAAAAUUAGCCGGGUAUGGUGGAAGGCACCUGUAAUCUCAGCUGCUCAGGAGGCUGAGGCAGGAGAAUCGCUUGAACUCAGAAGGCAGAGGUUGCAGUGGGCCAAGAUAACGCCACUGCACUCCAGCCUGGGCGACAAGAGCAAAACUCCAUCUCAAAAAAAAAAAAAAAAAAAAAAAGGGAUUCGAUUCUACCUAAUGCCCAGGGAGGCUCCACAGAGGAGGGGUAUUUCACAAUCCACGUCACCCACCCUGUCACUCCCUUGAUCCCUUCCUUCCUUUUUUCUUUUUAGAGACAAGGUCUCAUUCUGUUGCCCAGGCUGGAGUGCAGUGGUGCAAUCACGGUUCACUGCAACCUGGAACUCCAGGGUUCAAGCAAUCCUCCUGCCUCAGCCUGCCGAGUAGCUGUGACAACAGGUGCGAGCCACCAUGCCCAGCUAAGAUUUCACCAUGUUGCCCAGCUGGUCUUGAACUCCUGGCCUCAAGCAAUUCUCCUGCUUUAGGCUCCCAAGUUGCUGGAAUUACAGGUAUGAGUCACCACCCCUGGCUCUCUUUACAAGUCCUUAGGUAGUGGCCCCAGAACUGACCAAAGAGAAAUGUUAGGAUGUUUUACUCCAGGCCACUGAGUACUUGGAGAAGCCAUUGUGACUCCCUUUUUUGCUCCAAGACAGUGUGCAAUGUACAGGUCCUGCUAUGGGAUGUGGCUUGAGCCCAGUGGCCUGGGAAGGCGGGAGAGAGGGAGGGAGGAAUAGAAAUGGCGGGAAGGUGCGGGACGAAGGGCUGAGCAGGAGGAGAGGAAAGUGAAGGAAGAAAAGGAAAGGAGGGAAGAGAAGCGGGGAGGAGGCAACAGUGACAGCAGCUGACGGGGCUCUGUGCCUGCCUGGGUGGCUAUCCAGUCCUUCCUCUUCCCUCUGACCAUGGACGGACUCCC